rnacentral:rRNA from 1 species
ACUCCUACGGGAGGCAGCAGUGGGGAAUAUUGCACAAUGGGGAAACCCUGAUGCAGCCAUGCCGCGUGUGUGAAGAAGGCCUUCGGUUGUAAAGCACUUUCAGUAGGGAGGAAGGUAGUGUAGUUAACACCUGCAUUAUUUGACGUUACCUACAGAAGAAGCACCGGCUAACUCCGUGCCAGCAGCCGCGGUAAUACGGAGGGGUGCGAGCGUUAAUCGGAAUUACUGGGCGUAAAGCGCAUGCAGGCGGCCUGUUAAGUCAGAUGUGAAAGCCCGGGGGCUUAACCUCGGAAUUGCAUUUGAAACUGGCAGGCUAGAGUCUUGUAGAGGGGGUAGAAUUUCAGGUGUAGCGGUGGAAAUAGCGUAGAGAUCUGAAGGAAUACCAGUGGCGAAGCGGCCCCUCGGACAAGAACUGACGCUCAGAUGCGAAAGACGUGGGAGGCGAAACAGGAUUAGAUACCCUGGUAGACUGUCAUAGUCGU